UUCCCUCCGAAGUUUCCCUCA
rnacentral:snRNA from 1 species